rnacentral:rRNA from 1 species
CCUACGGGAGGCAGCAGUGAGGAAUAUUGGUCAAUGGGAGCUAUCCUGAACCAGCCAUGCCGCGUGCAGGACGACUGCUCUACGAGUUGUAAACUGCUUUUGUACCGGAGUAAAGUGCUCUACGAGUAGGGUUUUGAAAGUACGUUACGAAUAAGGAUCGGCUAACUCCGUGCCAGCAGCCGCGGUAAUACGGAGGAUCCGAGCGUUAUCCGGAUUCAUUGGGUUUAAAGGGUGCGUAGGUUGUUUUAUAAGUCAGAGGUGAAAUAAUGAUGCUCAACAUCGGGGCUGCAGCUAAUACUGUAGGACGAGAGAUCGGAUGCAGCAGGCGGAAUGUGUAGUGUAGCGGUGAAAUGCAUAGAUAUUACACAGAACACCGAUUGCGAAGGCAGCUUGCUGGGCCGGAUCUGACACUGAUGCACGAAAGCGUGGGGAUCGAACAGGAUUAGAUACCCCUGUAGUC